GUGCUCACUUUGGCAGCAUAUAUACUAACACUGGAAUGAUACAGAGAAGAUUAGCAUGGCCCCUGUGCAAGGAUGACACACAAAUUCAUGAAGCAUUCCAGAUUUUU
rnacentral:snRNA from 1 species